rnacentral:rRNA from 1 species
UACGGGGGGGGCAAGCGUUGUUCGGAAUUACUGGGCGUAAAGGGCGCGUAGGUGGCCAACUAAGUCAGACGUGAAAUCCCUCGGCUUAACCGGGGAACUGCGUCUGAUACUGGAUGGCUUGAGUUUGGGAGAGGGACGCGGAAUUCCAGGUGUAGCGGUGAAAUGCGUAGAUAUCUGGAGGAACACCGGUGGCGAAGGCGGCAUCCUGGACCAACACUGACGCUGAUGAGCGAAAGCCAGGGGAGCAAACGGG